rnacentral:rRNA from 1 species
UCAGACGAACGCUGGCGGCGUGCCUAAUACAUGCAAGUCGAGCGGACAGAUGGGAGCUUGCUCCCUGAUGUUAGCGGCGGACGGGUGAGUAACACGUGGGUAACCUGCCUGUAAGACUGGGAUAACUCCGGGAAACCGGGGCUAAUACCGGAUGGUUGUUUGAACCGCAUGGUUCAAACAUAAAAGGUGGCUUCGGCUACCACUUACAGAUGGACCCGCGGCGCAUUAGCUAGUUGGUGAGGUAACGGCUCACCAAGGCAACGAUGCGUAGCCGACCUGAGAGGGUGAUCGGCCACACUGGGACUGAGACACGGCCCAGACUCCUACGGGAGGCAGCAGUAGGGAAUCUUCCGCAAUGGACGAAAGUCUGACGGAGCAACGCCGCGUGAGUGAUGAAGGUUUUCGGAUCGUAAAGCUCUGUUGUUAGGGAAGAACAAGUACCGUUCGAAUAGGGCGGUACCUUGACGGUACCUAACCAGAAAGCCACGGCUAACUACGUGCCAGCAGCCGCGGUAAUACGUAGGUGGCAAGCGUUGUCCGGAAUUAUUGGGCGUAAAGGGCUCGCAGGCGGUUUCUUAAGUCUGAUGUGAAAGCCCCCGGCUCAACCGGGGAGGGUCAUUGGAAACUGGGGAACUUGAGUGCAGAAGAGGAGAGUGGAAUUCCACGUGUAGCGGUGAAAUGCGUAGAGAUGUGGAGGAACACCAGUGGCGAAGGCGACUCUCUGGUCUGUAACUGACGCUGAGGAGCGAAAGCGUGGGGAGCGAACAGGAUUAGAUACCCUGGUAGUCCACGCCGUAAACGAUGAGUGCUAAGUGUUAGGGGGUUUCCGCCCCUUAGUGCUGCAGCUAACGCAUAAGCACUCCGCCUGG